ensembl:snoRNA
GUGCACAAUUUCAUUGUCUUUUUUUCUUUACAUCAGGAAAAAAGAUAUUUCUGAUGUGCUAAAUAAACUUUUGGAGGUCUAUUAGCAGCAUGACUAAUAUAGCCAUUGCUGUCAGUCACCUUCAGACAAGC